rnacentral:rRNA from 1 species
AGUGGGGAAUAUUGGACAAUGGGGGAAACCCUGAUCCAGCGACGCCGCGUGUGUGAAGAAGGCCUGCGGGUUGUAAAGCACUUUUAGUGGGGACAAAAAGCCAGGGGCUAACACCACCUGGUCUUGAUUUAACCCACAGAAAAAGCACCGGCUAACUCUGUGCCAGCAGCCGCGGUAAUACAGAGGGUGCGAGCGUUAAUCGGAAUUACUGGGCGUAAAGCGCGCGUAGACGGUUUUGUAAGUCAGAUGUGAAAUCCCCGGGCUCAACCUGGGAACUGCAUUUGAUACUGCCUGGCUAGAGUACGGUAGAGGGAAGUGGAAUUUCCGGUGUAGCGGUGAAAUGCGUAGAUAUCGGAAGGAACACCAGUGGCGAAAGCGACUUCCUGGACCAGUACUGACGUUCAUGUGCGAAAGCGUGGGGAGCAAA